rnacentral:rRNA from 1 species
CCCUUAGAUGCUCUGGGCCGCACGCGCGCUACACUGGUCGAUGCAACGAGUUUCUUUCCUUGGCCGACAGGCCUGGGCAAUCUUUGAACAUCGAUCGUGAUCGGGAUAGAUUCUUGUAAUUUUUGAUCUUAAACGAGGAAUUCCUAGUAAACGCAAGUCAUCAGCUUGCAUUGAUUACGUCCCUGCCCUUUGUACACACCGCCCGUCGCACCUACCGAUUGAAUGGUCCGGUGAAAUCUCCGGACUGGCGUGAGUCGGGGCAAUCUGACAAACGCCGGAAAGUUGAUUAAACCUUACCAUUUAGAGGAAGGUGAAGUCGUAACA